AAAGAACUCGGCAAAAUUAUAAUGUUCGCCUGUUUAACAAAAACAUGUCUUUUUGAAUUGAAUUUAAAGUCUAACCUGCCCACUGAAUAUUUAAAUGGCCGCAGUAUAUUAACUGUGCAAAGGUAGCAUAAUCAUUAGUCUUUUAAUUGAAGGCUGGAAUGAAUGGUUGGACGAGGCAUUAACUGUUUCAUAUAAAUUUAUAAUAGAAUUUUAUUUUUUAGUCAAAAAGCUAAAAUAAAUUUAAAAGACGAGAAGACCCUAUAAAUCUUUAUAUUUAGGUUAUUAUGAUUUAUUAGAUAGUUUUUAUUAUAAUAAUUUAUAAUAUUUUAUUGGGGUGAUAUUAAAAUUUAAUAAACUUUUAAUUUUUAUUUACAUUAAUUUAUGAAUUAUUGAUCUAUUAUUAAUGAUUAAAAAAUUAAGUUACUUUAGGGAUAACAGCGUAAUUUUUUUGAAGAGUUCUUAUCGAUAAAAAAGAUUGCGACCUCGAUGUUGGAUUAAGAUAUAGUUUUAGGUGUAGGUGCUUAAAUUUUAAGUCUGUUCGACUUUUAAAUUCUUACAUGAUCUGAGUUCAAACCGGUGUAAGCCAGGUUGGUUUCUAUCUUUAAAAAUUUUUAAUAUUUUAGUACGAAAGGAUUUAAUA
rnacentral:rRNA from 1 species